AUGGCCAGCAUCAGUGGAGUAAAAGGCUGGGAUGCACAGGUGGCUCAUCCCCCCCUUGACGGUGUAGUUCCUAUGGAUAUAUUUCCCAAAAGCAGCCACCGUGAUGGUUCUAUAUAUAAGGGCAAGCAUGCAUGGAAAAAGGAGUAUCGUAUUGCUGACCGAAAUGAGACUUGGUUGGAGCCAAUGAUGUUGACAGAUCCCCCGAAUUGCUGCUUCCUUGAUGGAACUUGCAUACAGCAUGCACCUAGUGGCAUGUUCCAAGUUUUCUCAUUAAGGCUGGCUAACAUUCAUGUGGGUUGUGGGUCAGUAGAGUUGUACGGAUACAUAGCAGUGCGGGAUGAUUUGGAUCGAUUGCUUAAUUAUGUGGUCAAUGUUAAGAGGGAUGAUCCCAUCAUCCUGGAGCAGGGUUCUCUUAUCAACAUGGCUGGCCCUAAGCGAGGGAUAGAUUCACAUGGCAAUAUUGUAAUCGAAUAUGACAUGAGGAUCAAGACUGCUGAAGAAGAAAAGCAUGAUCUGCAGCUGAUCGAUGGUGCUUUAAUAAUAGUCAAUAAAGACUUCCAGAAUUGCCACGCAUUCACAAGUCGCAUAUAUGGCGAUUGCGGAGCAGUGGACAUGACUGCAUCACGUCUUGAAUAUGCAGUUGAGACACUAGAAGUUCUCAUAUCGGAAGUGCAAAAUAGUUUCAGUUUGUGUGUUGGUUGUUUUACCAGUGGGUUGAAUGAAGAAAUCCGGCUCUUCGAUGGCACCAUUGGUGAGUCAUGUGGCUUGAAGAGGUCUGUGGUUGCUGUAGUGAUAUCUUCUUGGAUGACAUUGAAGUUCAAGUUGGCACCGGGGUCAUCCAGUCCUGCUGAACAUCAUUGUUCCUUCAAGGCGAACAACCAUGGGACAUCUGCACAAAAAAUGAAGACUGAUUUUGCGUUAUUCUCAGUGAAGGUGACUUGGUCGACUUUGCCUCGGGGCUGUUAUGCUCAUUCCAGUUCAUCUGGACCUUAG
rnacentral:rRNA from 1 species